rnacentral:rRNA from 1 species
CCUACGGGGGGCAGCAGUGAGGAAUAUUGCACAAUGGAGGAAACUCUGAUGCAGCGAUGCCGUGUGCGGGAUGAAGGGGCUUUGCCUCGUAAACCGCUGUCGGAUGGGACGAAAGCAGGUAAGAACCUGUGGGACGGUACCAUUAAAGGAAGGGACGGCUAACUACGUGCCAGCAGCCGCGGUAAUACGUAGGUCCCGAGCGUUGUCCGGAAUUACUGGGUGUAAAGGGUGCGCAGGCGGUCCUGUGCGUCAGAAGUGAAAUAUCACGGCUCAAC